rnacentral:rRNA from 1 species
UACGAAGGGGGCUAGCGUUGCUCGGAAUCACUGGGCGUAAAGGGUGCGUAGGCAGGUCUUUAAGUCAGGGGUGAAAUCCUGGAGCUCAACUCCAGAACUGCCUUUGAUACUGAGGAUCUUGAGUUCGGGAGAGGUGAGUGGAACUCCGAGUGUAGAGGUGAAAUUCGUAGAUAUUCGGAAGAACACCAGUGGCGAAGGCGACUCACUGGCCCGAUACUGACGCUGAGGCGCGAAAGCGUGGGGAGCAAACAGG